AUUGAACGCUGGCGGCAGGCCUAACACAUGCAAGUCGAACGAGUGGCGGACGGGUGAGUAAUGUCUGGGAAACUGCCCGAUGGAGGGGGAUAACUACUGGAAACGGUAGCUAAUACCGCAUACCAUCGGAUGUGCCCAGAUGGGAUUAGCUAGUAGGUGGGGUAACGGCUCACCUAGGCGACGAUCCCUAGCUGGUCUGAGAGGAUGACCAGCCACACUGGGACUGUGACACGGUCCAGACUCCUACGGGAGGCAGCAGUGGGGAAUAUUGCACAAUGGGCGCAAGCCUGAUGCAGCCAUGCCGCGUGUAUUAAGAAGGCCUUCGGGUUGGAAAGUACUUUCAGCGGGGAGGCGUUACUCGCAGAAGAAGCACCGGCUAACUCCGUGCCAGCCGCCGCGGUAAUAC
rnacentral:rRNA from 1 species